GACGGAGGGUGCUAGCGUUGUUCGGAAUUACUGGGCGUAAAGGGCGCGUAGGCGGCCUGGUCAGUCGGAUGUGAAAGCCCGGGGCUCAACCCCGGAACGGCAUCCGAGACGGCCAGGCUGGAGACCGGGAGAGGAGAGUGGAAUAGCCAGUGUAGAGGUGAAAUUCGUAGAUAUUGGCUGGAACACCGGUGGCGAAAGCGGCUCUCUGGCCCGGUUCUGACGCUGAGGCGCGAAAGCUAGGGGAGCAAACGGG
rnacentral:rRNA from 1 species